CGGUUGAUCCUGCCGGAGGCCACUGCUAUGGGGGUCCGACUAAGCCAUGCGAGUCAUGGGGCGCCUUGCGCGCACCGGCGGACGGCUCAGUAACACGUCGGUAACCUACCCUCGGGAGGGGGAUAACCCCGGGAAACUGGGGCUAAUCCCCCAUAGGUCUAGGUUGCUGGAAUGCACCUAGGCCGAAAGCUCCGGCGCCCGAGGAUGGGGCUGCGGCCUAUCAGGUUGUAGUGGGGGUAACGGCCCCACUAGCCUACGACGGGUACGGGCUGUGGGAGCAGGAGCCCGGAGAUGGACCCUGAGACAAGGGUCCAGGCCCUACGGGGCGCAGCAGGCGCGAAACCUCCGCAAUGCGCGCAAGCGCGACGGGGGGACUCCGAGUGCCCUGGCCUUUGGUCAGGGCUUUUCCGGAGUCUAAAAAGCUCCGGGAAUAAGGGCUGGGCAAGACGGGUGCCAGCCGCCGCGGUAAUACCCGCAGCUCGAGUGGUGGCCACUAUUAUUGGGCCUAAAACGUCCGUAGCCGGCCUGGUAAAUGCCUGGGUAAAUCGUGAGGCUCAACCUCACGAAUUCCGGGCAGACUGC
rnacentral:rRNA from 1 species